rnacentral:rRNA from 1 species
AUUGAACGCUGGCGGCAUGCCUUACACAUGCAAGUCGAACGGUAACGGGCCUUCGGGUGCCGACAAGUGGCGAACGGGUGAGUAAUGCAUCGGAACGUACCUUUCAGUGGGGGAUAACGUAGCGAAAGCUACGCUAAUACCGCAUAUUCUGUGAGCAGGAAAGCAGGGGAUCGCAAGACCUUGCGCUGAUUGAGCGGCCGAUGUCAGAUUAGCUAGUUGGUGAGGUAAAGGCUCACCAAGGCGACGAUCUGUAGCGGGUCUGAGAGGAUGAUCCGCCACACUGGAACUGAGACACGGUCCAGACUCCUACGGGAGGCAGCAGUGGGGAAUUUUGGACAAUGGGGGCAACCCUGAUCCAGCCAUGCCGCGUGAGUGAAGAAGGCCUUCGGGUUGUAAAGCUCUUUCGGUCGGGAAGAAAUCGCAUGGGUUAAUACCCUGUGCGGAUGACGGUACCGGCAUAAGAAGCACCGGCUAACUACGUGCCAGCCGCCGCAGUAACAC